rnacentral:tRNA from 1 species
UUAUUGGUAGCUCAGUGGUAGAAUUCUUAUCUUCUAUGUGGGAGACCUGGGUUCGAUUCCCAGUCAAUUCA